rnacentral:rRNA from 1 species
GACGAACGCUGGCGGCGUGCUUAACACAUGCAAGUCGAACGGUGAAGGGACCAGCUUGCUGGUUCUGGAUGAGUGGCGAACGGGUGAGUAACACGUGAGUAACCUGCCCCCUUCUUCUGGAUAACCGCAUGAAAGUGUGGCUAAUACGGGAUAUUCUGGGUCUGUCGCAUGGCGGGCCCGGGAAAGAUAUUGCUUCGGUGGGGGAUGGGCUCGCGGCCUAUCAGCUUGUUGGUGGGGUGAUGGCCUACCAAGGCGGUGACGGGUAGCCGGCCUGAGAGGGUGGACGGUCACACUGGGACUGAGACACGGCCCAGACUCCUACGGGAGGCAGCAGUGGGGAAUAUUGCACAAUGGGCGCAAGCCUGAUGUAGCGACGCCGCGUGAGGGAUGGAGGCCUUCGGGUUGUAAACCUCUUUCGCCAGUGAAGCAGGCCUGCUCCUUGUGGGUGGGUUGACGGUAGCUGGAUAAGAAGCGCCGGCUAACUACGUG